AGCUAUAAGAACUUAUUUAUAGUUUAACCUGCCCAAUGUUUUAAUGAAUGGCCGCGGUACUAUGACCGUGCUAAGGUAGCGUAAUCAGUUGGCUUUUAAAUGGAGUCAGGAAUGAAUGGGAUAACCUGGUUUAGCUGUCUCCUUAUUACUAAAUUGAAUUUACUGUGUAAGUGAAAAAGCUUACGAUUGGAAGAGGGACGAGAAGACCCUUAGAAUUUUUCUUAUAUGAGUUUUAACUCUACUGGUUUUGUUGGGGCGACAAAGAAAUACUAACAACUUUCUUUUAUUUAUUUGCCGAUUAUAAUAAGAUAGGAUAAAUUACCUGAGGGAUAACAGCAUAAUUUUACAGAUAAGUUUGUGACCUCGAUGUUGGACUAGGAAACUGGUAAGCUAGCCGUUUAUUUUGUUGGUUCUGUUCGAACUUUAAUUCCU
rnacentral:rRNA from 1 species